rnacentral:rRNA from 1 species
UACGUAGGGUGCUAGCGUUGUCCGGAUUUAUUGGGCGUAAAGAGCUUGUAGGCGGCUCGUCGCGUCGGGUGUGAAAACUUGCGGCUUAACCGCAAGCCUGCACCCGAUACGGGCGGGCUAGAGUUCGGCAGGGGAGACUGGAAUUCCUGGUGUAGCGGUGGAAUGCGUAGAGAUCGGGAAGAACACCCGUGGCGAAGGCGGCUCUCUGGGACGGUACUGACGCUGAGACGCGAAAGCGUGGGGAGCGAACAGG